rnacentral:rRNA from 1 species
UACGUAGGGUGCAAGCGUUGUCCGGAAUCAUUGGGCGUAAAGAGCGUGUAGGCGGCCCGAUAAGUCCGCCGUGAAAGCCCAGGGCUCAACCCUGGGAUGCCGGUGGAUACUGUCGGGCUAGAAUCCGGAAGAGGCGAGUGGAAUUCCUGGUGUAGCGGUGAAAUGCGCAGAUAUCAGGAGGAACACCGAUGGCGAAGGCAGCUCGCUGGGACGGUAUUGACGCUGAGACGCGAAAGCGUGGGGAGCGAACAGG